rnacentral:tRNA from 1 species
GCAUUGGUGGUUCAGUGGUAGAAUUCUCGCCUUUCGUGCAGGAGACCCAAGUUUGAUUCCUGGCCAAUGCA